UUACGGCCAUAUCACGUUGAAACUCUGGUUCUCAUGCGAUCACCUAAGUUAAGGGACGUCGGGCUCGGUCAGUACCAUGGUUGGUGAGAGCUUGUUAAUGCCAGGUGCCGUAA